ACGCUCGACACCUACGGGAGGUAGCAGUUGGGAAUAUUGGACAAUGGAGGAAACUCUGAUCCAGUGACGCCGCGUGAAGGAAGAAGGUCUUCGGAUUGUAAACUUAUUUUGUCAGGGAAGAAACAAAUGACUGUACCUGAAGAAAAAGCACCGGCUAACUACGUGCCAGCAGCCGCGGUAAUCUGAGCGGGCUGGCAAGGC
rnacentral:rRNA from 1 species